GCGGGAGUAACUCAGUUGGUAGAGUCCCUGUUUUCCAAGCAGGUGGUCAUGGGUUCGAGACCCAUCUCCCGCUCCA
rnacentral:tRNA from 1 species